ACGCGAAGAACCUUACCAAGGCUUGACAUAUGCCGGACACUCCUGGAGACAGGGGCUCCCUUUGGGCCGGUGUACAGGUGGUGCAUGGCUGUCGUCAGCUCGUGUCGUGAGAUGUUGGGUUAAGUCCCGCAACGAGCGCAACCCUUAUCCUGUGUUGCCAGCGCGCCCUUCGGGGUGGCGGGGACUCACGGGAGACUGCCGGGGUCAACUCGGAGGAAGGUGGGGACGACGUCAAGUCAU
rnacentral:rRNA from 1 species